rnacentral:rRNA from 1 species
AUUGAACGCUGGCGGCAGGCCUAACACAUGCAAGUCGAGCGAGCGGCGGACGGGUGAGUAAUGUCUGGGAAACUGCCUGAUGGAGGGGGAUAACUACUGGAAACGGUAGCUAAUACCGCAUACCCUCAGAUGUGCCCAGAUGGGAUUAGCUAGUAGGUGGGGUAACGGCUCACCUAGGCGACGAUCCCUAGCUGGUCUGAGAGGAUGACCAGCCACACUGGAAAAGAUAAACGGUCCAGACUCCGACGGGAGGGAGCAGUGGGGCAUAUUGCACAAUGGGCUCAAGCCUGAUGCAGCCAUGCCGCAGGUGUUGAGAAGGCCUUCGGGUUGUAAAGCACUUUCAGCGGGGAGGCGUUACCCGCAGCAGAAGCACCGGCUAACUCCGUGCCAGCAGCCGCGGUAAUAC